GGGGUUGUGGCUCAGUGGUAGAGCACUUGCCUUGAAUGUGUGAGACACUGAAUUCGUUUCUCAGCACCA
rnacentral:tRNA from 1 species